rnacentral:rRNA from 1 species
GAUGAACGCUGGCGGCGUGCCUAAUACAUGCAAGUAGAACGCUGAAGGAAGGAGCUUGCUCUUUCCGGAUGAGUUGCGAACGGGUGAGUAACGCGUAGGUAACCUGCCUGGUAGCGGGGGAUAACUAUUGGAAACGAUAGCUAAUACCGCAUAACAGUAGAUGUUGCAUGAUAUCUACUUAAAAGGUGCAAUUGCACCACUACCAGAUGGACCUGCGUUGUAUUAGCUAGUUGGUGAGGUAACGGCUCACCAAGGCGACGAUACAUAGCCGACCUGAGAGGGUGAUAGGCCACACUGGGACUGAGACACGGCCCAGACUCCUACGGGAGGCAGCAGUAGGGAAUCUUCGGCAAUGGACGGAAGUCUGACCGAGCAACGCCGCGUGAGUGAAGAAGGUUUUCGGAUCGUAAAGCUCUGUUGUAAGAGAAGAACGAGUGUGAGAGUGGAAAGUUCACACUGUGACGGUAUCUUACCAGAAAGGGACGGCUAACUACGUG